CAAACUUCAACAGUUCAACUCUUGCUCUCGUGUUUACAGCGAACCCAAUUCACACACUGACAUACGUAACGUAAGCCCCUCUCUCUAUCUCUCUGUUUCUCUCUCAAUAGACACACAUUUAUAUAUUUGGAUGUAUACACAUGGCGUGUGUGCCAUGUGCGUGAGCAGAUGUAAAAGAGUGGAGAUGAUGUUUGUAUAUGUAAAGUCAG
rnacentral:lncRNA from 1 species